GACGAACGCUGGCGGCGUGCUUAACACAUGCAAGUCGAACGGAAAGGCCCUGCUUUUGUGGGGUGCUCGAGUGGCGAACGGGUGAGUAACACGUGAGUAACCUGCCCUUGACUUUGGGAUAACUUCAGGAAACUGGGGCUAAUACCGGAUAGGAGCUCCUGCUGCAUGGUGGGGGUUGGAAAUUUCGGCGGUUGGGGAUGGACCCGCGGCUUAUCAGCUUGUUGGUGGGGUAGUGGCUUACCAAGGCUUUGACGGGUAGCCGGCCUGAGAGGGUGACCGGCCACAUUGGGACUGAGAUACGGCCCAGACUCCUACGGGAGGCAGCAGUGGGGAAUAUUGCACAAUGGGCGGAAGCCUGAUGCAGCAACGCCGCGUGCGGGAUGACGGCCUUCGGGUUGUAAACCGCUUUCGCCUGUGACGAAGCGUGAGUGACGGUAAUGGGUAAAGAAGCACCGGCUAACUACGUG
rnacentral:rRNA from 1 species